AUUUGAAAAAUUGACUAAUUUCUGUUUUCACAAAUUUAAGAAAAUUUUGGAAGUGGUCUACCAUAGGGAACCAAAUGGUACAAACUAAUUUGUGUGCAGUCUUUUAUGAAUGUCCUGCCUCAGGAUUCACAAAUAUGGAUAACCUGAUCUCUUGUUCCUCUCUGAAUUUCUAGAGUUGCAUUCUGAGUUAGUUUCAUACUCUUAUUGCAAUUGAGCAGUUGGCAACUAAAUGUCAGAUUUGUGUCCUGAUUUUCAACCCUUUUCUGUUUCUGAGUGCAAGUAUCAUAUCUGCAAGUAGGGUCCCUAAAUGUUCUUCGCUGGAAGGAUUUGGAUUUCAUUGUUGUUUCCUUGUACAACAAAAAUCACCAAGUCAAAUGAAGCAGAAUGGUAUCAGUUGUUUGUCAGUUUUUCUUUACUCUUAUCGUGACAUGUCUGGCAUCUAAAAAUUAUGCAGAUAGUAGCUUUGCUGUAUUCUUUCAAGCUCAUUGCAUCUCAUUCCUUGAUUCUGGCAACUGGUAUUGCAUUGAUCCUUGCUUUCAAUGUAUUCUUCAUCUAUGAGCAAUAUGAGGAAGAAAUUGAUGGGGCCGUCACAUCUUUAUUAAUCCACACAAGGAAAGCUGGGGGCUGGUUGUUGAUGAAUCUGCCUAGCCCUAUGGUGUCGUUGCUUCCUGGCCGUGGGACAUCAUCAGAAAAACCGAGCUACACAUUCAAGACCGAAUAAUAACAGCUCACUAGACCUUGGCGUGACUCGCUUGCUUGAAUUUUCCAGGGUGGAUGUGUAAAUAGGUUAGAUUCCCAAUUUAAAGUAACCCUUUACUAAAUUGACAAAGUAGACAAGUGUCUGCAAACACCCAAGGCAAAAAGUUGUAGAAUGGGGAAAGAAGUUAUUUCUGAUGCUUUUGGCUGGCUAUCUUCUUAAUGAAGAGCAGCAACACUAUAUUGGAUCGACUCUGUUCCGUCGCUUCAAACAAUAUAUUCUGAACUAAAGAUACUGUAGAGUAUUAUUAUUUGGUCCAAAA